AGAGUUUGAUCCUGGCUCAGAAUCAACGCUGGCGGCGUGCUCAGACAUGCAAGUCGAACGCGAAAGUCCCCUUCGGGGGCAAGUAGAGUGGCGCACGGGUGAGUAACACGUAGGUAAUCUACCUUUGGAUGGGGAAUAACCACCGGAAACGGUGGCUAAUACCGCAUAAUGCAGCGGCACCUAAUGGUGACAGUUGUUAAAGCGGGGGAUCGCAAGACCUCGCGUCUGAAGAGGAGCCUGCGGCAGAUUAGCUAGUUGGUAAGGUAACGGCUUACCAAGGCGAUGAUCUGUAGCCGGCCUGAGAGGGCGGUCGGCCACACUGACACUGACAUACGGGUCAGACUCCUACGGGAGGCAGCAGUCGGGAAUUUUGGGCAAUGGGCGAAAGCCUGACCCAGCAACGCCGCGUGAAGGAUGAAAUCCCUCGGGAUGUAAACUUCGCAAGAUCAGGAAGAAUAAGUAAGAGCUAACAUCUCUUAUGAUGACG
rnacentral:rRNA from 1 species